rnacentral:rRNA from 1 species
UCUCCUGGAAAACGGGUGGUAAUGCCGGAUGCUCCGGUUGGAUGCAUGUCCUUCCGGGAAAGGUUCCAUCGGUAUGGGAUGGGGUCGCGUCCUAUCAGCUUGAUGGCGGGGUAACGGCCCACCAUGGCUUCGACGGGUAGCCGGCCUGAGAGGGCGACCGGCCACAUUGGGACUGAGAUACGGCCCAGACUCCUACGGGAGGCAGCAGUGGGGAAUAUUGCACAAUGGGCGCAAGCCUGAUGCAGCGACGCCGCGUGCGGGAUGGAGGCCUUCGGGUUGUAAACCGCUUUUGAUCGGGAGCAAGCCCUUCGGGGUGAGUGUACCUUUCGAAUAAGCACCGGCUAACUACGUGCCAGCAGCCGCGGUAAUACGUAGGGUGCAAGCGUUAUCCGGAAUUAUUGGGCGUAAAGGGCUCGUAGGCGGUUCGUCGCGUCCGGUGUGAAAGCCCAUCGCUUAACGGUGGGUCUGCGCCGGGUACGGGCGGGCUGGAGUGCGGUAGGGGAGACUGGAAUUCCCGGUGUAACGGUGGAAUGUGUAGAUAUCGGGAAGAACACC